AAUUUGGCGAGAAUAACAAUGUCUUAUUGGUGUGAGAACUGUGUGAGAAAAUUGGUGUAAAAUAUGUCAAUCAGCUUUCAUGUUUUACUGAGCCGCUUCAACUCAACUGGCUUCAAAGAGGAAGUUAUAUUUUUUUCUCCAUGUAAUCAUGAGAACAUAAAGUGUACAUCAAAUUGGGAUUGUUUGGAAGGAAGGACAAACUGUACUAUCCCUUCACUGCAAGCAGAGGACUGCGAUUGCAGACCUGGGCAAAUGUGGGUGCAUAACGCUAGGAGGAUACAGGCCUGCAGACAACACCAGAGAGGCAUGCUCCCAUCCCAGCAGGGCAUGAUCAUCUUACCAUGGCUAGGAGGAAGAAAUGGGAAUGCAAAAAAACUUGUUUGUUUUAAAAUCUCCAAGGCUUUUUGCUAGAACCAAGUGUCAACAACAGUGUGCUAUCUGGUCCAAG
rnacentral:lncRNA from 1 species